GAUGAACGCUGGCGGCGUGCUUAACACAUGCAAGUCGAACGAUGAAGCCCAGCUUGCUGGGUGGAUUAGUGGCGAACGGGUGAGUAACACGUGAGUAACCUGCCCUUAACUCUGGGAUAAGCCUGGGAAACUGGGUCUAAUACCGGAUAGGAGCGUCCACCGCAUGGUGGGUGUUGGAAAGAUUUAUCGGUUUUGGUUGGACUCGCGGCCUAUCAGCUUGUUGGUGAGGUAAUGGCUCACAAAGGCGACGACGGGUAGCCGGCCUGAGAGGGUGACCGGCCACACAGGGACUGAGAAACGGCCAAGACGCAUACGGGAGGCAGCAGUGGGGAAUAUUGCAAAAUGGGCGGAAGGCUGAUGCAGCGACGCCGCGUGAGGGAUGACGGCCUUCGGGUUGUAAACCUCGUUCAGUAGGGAAGAAGCGAAAGUGACGGUGCCUGCAGAAGAAGCAACGGCUAACUACGUG
rnacentral:rRNA from 1 species